CAAGACUGUUCUAUGAAUUAACCCAAAUUUAAAUUUAUUAAAAUGAAGUGUACAGAGAAGCCUAGUAUACACCCACUUUAUGCUUUGGGAGCAAAUCUAAUGCAGGCUAGCACACAAGGCCUGAAACAAUUUUCAUGCUUUUCGGGAUCAGCUGAAGAUAGCAAAAGCUUUAAAAUACUAAAAGCCCUGUUAAACAAA